GCCAAUGGCGACAGCACGUUAUUCACCAUGGACCACUGAAGUUAAGUACCGUUGCACGUGGUUAGCAUCCGGAUAGGUGACAUUCUUGGCUAUCGCGUGCUGUUGGCU
rnacentral:rRNA from 1 species